rnacentral:lncRNA from 1 species
AUUUAUUUUAAUAUUAGUCUUGAAUAGAAAAAUAUACUAAUAUAGUUUUUUUCACAUUUGCUGUUUGUCUCUUCUUCCACCUCAAAACUCAUUUUUAACAUAGUUCAGAAAGUUAUCUUAUAAUUGCUAAAUAAGAACAUGAUGAUGUAUUUAACAGUUUGGAUUUUUCUCCAGGUAAAGAUCAGGUUUCCACUGAUGUUUAACAGGGCUUGUACUGUGUUAAAUACUUAGCUAUUCUGAAUUAUGAUUCAAGGCUAAAAGGUAUAAAUAGCCUUCAAAUAAUGUACUUUGAACUUGAAUUAUAUUGUUGAUUAUUUCGACUUUAUAAAAAUGGCCAUUUUAGUAAGUCAUUCUGUAUUGUUAUUCAAUGGAAAUAAUGUAUUUGUAAAUGUUCUGCCAUAGAGUCUUUGAAAAGAUUUCUAAUGCUGUGUGUAACUGAAGCUGGACCUGAAGUCAGUCUUUGCAGUGUCAUGAAACCAUAAAAAUGUGGAACUGAGAGAAAUGACUUUUUACUAUUAUGAAAUUCUUCUGGAGAACUUUGAAACAGCAAAUGGCAUGUAGAAGCACCUCCCGUGACUGUGGAAUAAAG